AACGAACGCUGGCGGCAUGCCUAACACAUGCAAGUCGAACGAGACCUUCGGGUCUAGUGGCGCACGGGUGCGUAACGCGUGGGAACCUGCCCUUAGGUUCGGAAUAACUCAGAGAAAUUUGAGCUAAUACCGGAUAAUGUCUUCGGACCAAAGAUUUAUCGCCUUUGGAUGGGCCCGCGUUGGGUUAGCUAGUUGGUAGGGUAAAGGCCUACCAAGGCGACGAUCCAUAGCUGGUCUGAGAGGAUGAUCAGCCACACUGGGACUGAGACACGGCCCAG
rnacentral:rRNA from 1 species